rnacentral:rRNA from 1 species
UUGUCUCAAAGAUUAAGCCAUGCAUGUCUCAGUGCAAGCCGAAUUAAGGUGAAACCGCGAAAGGCUCAUUAAAUCAGCUAUGAUUCAAUUGAUGGUACUUAUACGGUUACUUGGAUAACUGUGGCAAUUCUAGAGCUAAUACAUGCAAAACGAGUUCCGACCGCGUCUUCGCGGCGCGGCGACGCGUCCGUCGACGCGGAACGAAUGCUUUUAUUAGAACAAAACCAAUCGGAUCUUUCGGAAGCGGGCCGAGUCCGGCUCGGCGAGAGUCGUCCGUGGCCGGUCCCCGGAAGCCAUCCGCAAAUCCAUGACGAAUCUGGAUAACUUUGAGCUGAUCGCACGGUCUCGAACCGGCGACGCAUCUUUCAAAUGUCUGACUUAUCAACUUUCGAUGGUAGGCUACGCGCCUACCAUGGUGAUAACGGGUGACGGGGAAUCAGGGUUCGAUCCCGGAGAGGGAGCCUGAGAAACGGCUACCACAUCCAAGGAAGGCAGCAGGCGCGCAAAUUACCCACUCCCGGCACGGGGAGGUAGUGACGAAAAAUAACGAUGCAGGACUCUUUAUGAGGCUCUGCAAUCGGAAUGAGUACACUCUAAAUCAUUUAACGAGUAUCCAUUGGAGGGCAAGUCUGGUGC